GAUGAACGCUGGCGGCGUGCCUAAUACAUGCAAGCCGAGCGAACAGAUAAGGAGCUUGCUCCUUUGACGUUAGCGGCGGACGGGUGAGUAACACGUGGGUAACCUACCUAUAAGACUGGGAUAACUUCGGGAAACCGGAGCUAAUACCGGAUAACAUUUGGAACCGCAUGGUUCUAAAGUGAAAGAUGGUUUUGCUAUCACUUAUAGAUGGACCCGCGCCGUAUUAGCUAGUUGGUAAGGUAACGGCUUACCAAGGCAACGAUACGUAGCCGACCUGAGAGGGUGAUCGGCCACACUGGAACUGAGACACGGUCCAGACUCCUACGGGAGGCAGCAGUAGGGAAUCUUCCGCAAUGGGCGAAAGCCUGACGGAGCAACGCCGCGUGAGUGAUGAAGGGUUUCGGCUCGUAAAACUCUGUUAUUAGGGAAGAACAAACGUGUAAGUAACUGUGCACGUCUUGACGGUACCUAAUCAGAAAGCCACGGCUAACUACGUG
rnacentral:rRNA from 1 species